UUAUAAUGCUGGGGUUGUAGCUGGCCUUUCAAUCGAGAGGUAUUGUGCACGCCCUGGUUAUUCCAAUUCUUAUACCUCUGUGCACUUUACAUAGAAAGAUUUACUAGUUGAGUGAAAGGGUCGACUCUCCGGGGUUGAACCAAGUAAUUCGACUGGUAAGCUUUCUGUGGUUCAUACAUUUAUACCAGUCAGUUUAGAAUGUAACACCGCGUAUAACGCAAACUAUAUACAACUUUCAGCAACGGAUCUCUUGGCUCUCGCAUCGAUGAAGAACGCAGCGAAAUGCGAUAAGUAAUGUGAAUUGCAGAAUUCAGUGAAUCAUCGAAUCUUUGAACGCACCUUGCACUCCUUGGUAUUCCGAGGAGUAUGCCUGUUUGAGUGUCAUGGUAUUCUCAAUUCUAACAACUUUGUGUUGUCGGAAUUGGACUUGGAGGUUUUUUGCCGGAGCUUCGGCUUUUCUGGCUCCUCUCAAAUGCAUUAGUGUGAAUCAAGUUACACGUUACUCAGUGUGAUAAUUAUCUGCGCUGUUUCAACGUUGACUUUAUAAGUGUUCAUGCUUAUAACCCGUCUGUUGACUCAGACACUUUACUAUGAAAUCUGACCUCAAAUCAGGUAGGACUACCCGCUGAACUUAAGCAUAUCAAUAAGCGGAGGAAAAGAAACUAACAAGGAUUCCCCUAGUAACUGCGAGUGAAGCGGGAAAAGCUCAAAUUUAAAAUCUGGCAGUCUUUGAUUGUCCGAGUUGUAGUCUGGAGAAGUGUUAUCGCUGGACCGUGUACAAGUCUCUUGGAAAUAGAGCGUCAUAGAGGGUGAGAAUCCCGUCUUUGACACGGACUACCAGUGCUUUUGUGAUGCGCUCUCAAAGAGUCGAGUUGUUUGGGAAUGCAGCUCAAAA
rnacentral:rRNA from 1 species